ensembl:lncRNA
UUUCUUUUGGUAUGUUUUUUUUUCUGUAUAUUUUUUUACACACAAUUAAAUAUUUAAGUCAUCCUAUGUCCAAUUUGCAAGUUUCCUAAGGACUCUGCUCUACAUAACCCUUAAUUUUUGUGUUUGUUUAUUAAAUAUUAAGGUUAAUUUGCCAAUGCUUUCAGCUACCAAUAAGAAUGUAGUAUUUUUUGCUCCGUUUAAGACGUUGUAUAUCAUUUUAUUGAAAAAAUCAACUGAGAAAAUGAAAAAAAAAAAAAAAACGUCAGCAAAUAUUGUGUGGGCCUGCGAAUGAGCUUUGAAUGUGUUCGAUAUUGUAAAGCUGACUAUGUUGUGCUUUAUUCUUCAUUUCAACAAUUAAGUUUUGAGAUUAGUUUUAUUUUUUGCUGUUUUAGCAAAAACACAUUAUUGUUACUGCAGUAGGUUAGAAGCUUUAAAUUCUUGAGUGCAGAUAUUUAUAUACAUUAAUCUUUUUUUGUAUACUAGUUGUAUUCGGGUUACUUUAAUGCAUUGCAAAUAUAUUUUCUGUAUUUUUCAGUUGUCUACCCCUCUUAGAUUUCAAUUUUUGCUGAAUUCUAAUGCUCAGAGAGGCAUCCACACCCAGAUCCAGCUGGAAAAAUUUUCUUUUUGAGUCCGCAUUAGUAAACGGCAGGGGACCAUAACAUGGAUUCCUCCCCUCAAAGAGACAGUCUUGUUAUUUAGGUCUUCAGAAAUGAAUUAGAUGGACAAACAAGGUGUCAGAAAAUAUUCAAAGUGACAGGUCACCCUUAAGGACAGAACAAUGUCUUGCCAGAUAACCAGGGAAUUAGUGUCUCUGCAUGGAACCAGACUUAGAUGUCAAUGCUGGAAGAGGUAAAGUAACCAAAGGCUGACCUUAUUAAUCUAAAUCCAAUCCUUCACAACUCUUAAGGCCAAUGCAAAAGGACACACAAUGUGCACCCAGUUCCAUUGAUUUAGCUUCAACCCACAGCCCGGUCGAUUCCCCGGCUUUGAAGUCUCUUUCCACGCGCAGGGAAAGUGAGGAAAUGAAGUAAUAUUAGUCCAAGUACUUCCUCGCUACCCACUGUAUCUGAACGGCUGAGUCUGCUGUUGAUAUGUGCUGAGAUGCAUGGUUCAGUUGAGUUUGCGUUUGCUCAGUCACAGCUGAACAGUUUGAAUGCUGAGCUCUAAUGUUAAACACCCUGCAUACAAUUGCUUGAGAGAAUGUGCAUCUAAACACUAUUGGCAAUGGACCUGCAUGACUCUGAUAGCUAGAGAAAGAUGAAUAUUUUGGCUCAGUGCUAAUAUCAGUACAUUAUAUACUAAGAAUUGCAUUAUUAAAGGGUUUUGGUUUAAAUGUUACUAAUGUAAAUACUUUUUGUAUUUAAACGUCGUCUUUCAUUAUACCGAAUAAACAUUGAAUGAACUCUUUCUUGUUGAGGAUGGCACUUCUACAGUUGUGCUAUUUAUACAGUCAUUUCGUUUGGUCAGUCUGGUGUUUAGACCGCAUGAGUAAGGAAACCAUGAGCCAUUUCCUUCUGUCGCUCUGAUUUUUUAAAAACAUUACUGGCUAUUGUUUGAUGACAAAUGAUGAAAGACGUUGUACAUAUUUCCUUUCUUCAUUAAAAAAUGUAUAUUUGUACAGUAUCUUAAUGAUUUUCUUUUGGUUUGUAAUAAAGCAUUCAGUGGCAAG